UACGGAGGGUGCAAGCGUUAUCCGGAUUCACUGGGUUUAAAGGGUGCGUAGGUGGGCAGGUAAGUCAGUGGUGAAAUCUCCGGGCUUAACCCGGAAACUGCCAUUGAUGCUAUCAGUCUUGAAUACCGUGGAGGUAAGCGGAAUAUGUCAUGUAGCGGUGAAAUGCUUAGAUAUGACAUAGAACACCAAUUGCGAAGGCAGCUUACUACCCGAAUAUUGACACUGAGGCACGAAAGCGUGGGGAUCAAACAGG
rnacentral:rRNA from 1 species